rnacentral:lncRNA from 1 species
GCCAAUCCCAAAAGUUUGUUGAACAAUUAUUUCAUACAAGAGAACAUUCUAUGAAGAUCAAUAAUAUAUUUCAUAAUUAUCUUAACUCAACCACGAGAUCAAACACCAAACAUGCCUUUCACCAAUAAGCAUUCAGAUUUCUGAAGUAUGGAAGAGAUAGUUGUAGUUCAAGUUGUUCAGGAAUGUGUUUGUUCUUGGUGAUCUCACAGAGGAAAAAGAAGUCCAAAGUUCUGAAAACUGAAGGUUACACAGUUGAAGAGAUUCUUUGGUGACUCACAGGUUGGUGGUCAAAGUCUGCUACGAUUUAGUUGUGUCAGACCUACUACAAGUUAUCUUUUCUAGUGAAUCUUUUUGGCAAGGUUUGCCUGUAGGUUUUUGAUCUCUGUGAAGAGUUAUUCAAAGGGUUUUCAUUCAUUAACAAUUUUGGUAUUGUUUACUUUAAUUUAUGCUUUUGAUCUAUAUUGCAUGAUUGACCCAUAGGAUUUAACUUGACAUUAAUCUUUAUCAUCUAGAAAUAAUAAUUAAUGGCAGGUUGGUUUUUAUUGGUUAUUCCACAUUAUAGACCUCUAGCUGUGGUUGGGUCUAAACAUCAUUUUUGAUCGAUUAAUCAUUUAUUUUAUAUAUUAUAAUUUUUCAAUACCCAUUAAAAUCACUAAUUCUUCUCUAUUAAUCAUUAAAUUAAAAUAAUGCCACACUAAAGUCUUCCAAAGAUUUAAACUUUGAUCAAUCUGAUGGAUAUUGUCCCUCCUAAGUCGUUAUAAGGGAUAUUCAAACUCUUGACUUGAGGUAGAUUUGAGAAUGUCGUUGGAAUUCUUCCACUAAGAUUAUUGUGGGACAAGUUUUGUGAGCGGAUCUCCCUUAACUAUCCAAGUUCCUCUAAAAUAUCACCAUAUAAUUUAUUGGAAGAGAGAACAAUUCCUGACAUUUGGUUGAGGAAAUUACCCUUGUAAGAUUACAAAGUUUUCUUAGUGGUAACGUUGUUGUAAUCUGCUCAUCAGUGAAUUCAAAUUCUUCUACUUUUCAAGAGAUACAUGGUGGAUCCUUUCAAACUCAAUCCUAUCCAUGUAUGACCUGA